AUAUAAUAUAAAGCUAGGAAUAGAAGAGGUGAUGUGGCACCUCUCUAUGGCCUCCAAUGAUAUUUAUCUUUUUUCUCCUUUUUUGACAUUUUUCUUCCAUUUUAUGUAUUUACUUGCCCAUCAAAUUCUGAUCACGAGACUCUAUGUCUCUACAUCAGUUACAAAUUGACCAUAAUGAGUAUUAAGGAAUGAGUAACGCUUUUGAGGCAUUUUGGUGAUAAAUUCCUUAAUUACAAUUAAUCAUCUUUUAACUUAAAUUCCUAAUGCUUGUAACGUAAAAAAUGAAUAAAGUUUUGCUCCUGGAAAGUCAGCAAAUUUUCAUUCUAUAUUAUAUUUAGGAUCAUCACCUAUAUAUAUGUUUGACCAUCUCAUCUUCUUAAUUUGAUAGUGAAUUUUACAUUGAUUGAUCAUCCGAUUACACUGCUAGCCGUCGGUGAGUAAUUUUUCCAUCUGAUUUGUAUCAUUCAAUAGAUUUUACUUUGUUCAUUUCUCUUUCAUUUUGCUCUAAACAAGCAUGAACUAAAAUUAUGUCCAUUGAAUUUUAUGGAGGGACAAGUGGCAAUAUUAUUUUGUUAUGGGUUUAUAGAAAGUACAGCUCUGCCUUAUAAUGAAAAGACUUAUUGUAGUUGACGUCAUUUCUCCUACCAAUUAAGAUCUAACAACCACAUAUGCAAUGCAAUAAAAAAUUCUCGUGAAAUAGACUCAAGAAAUGAAGAGUUAAAGCUCAUUUCUCUCUACCGCACGCUCUCUUAUCAGGUGAUAUUUGGUCAACUCGAGUUAGGAGCUUUUGGUACAGGUUGAUGAUAAGUAAGAAAUUAAAUUUGAUUCCGCGACAUGAUGCAUAAUUGAUUUUUUCUUUUUGUCUUUUCAUUUUGUUUCGUGCUUCCUUUAAUUUUUAGUAACUUUUGAAAUUGCUAUAUGAGAGAUAUGAAAUAUAUUAUCCUUGUAAAACAUUAGUGUCAAAUUCACAUAUGUACAAAUUGAAAAGAGUUUUUUCAUAUUAAUGCUUCUUAUUGAUUCUUU